GUGAGGGAAAGUUGAAAAGGACUUUGAAGAGAGAGUUCAAGAGUGCGUGAAACUGCUCGGAGGCAAACGGGUGGGCCCUCGAACGGUCCUCGCCCGAUGGUUCGGUCGGAGAGGCGCGAGCCCGUUGGCGAGGCGGGUUCCGUAAAGGACCCCUCCGCUUUCGUGGCGCUCGAGUCUUCCGGUGCAUUCCAUCCGGUAUGGACGUCGCAGCCGGUUGGGCGUGGUCAGCCUGAAGAGCGGGCUACGGCAGGUGGCAGUGGAGUCUCCCCGCUGUGUCUAGCCGGCUCGUUCGUGGCGUGAUCCCCGACCGAGGAUGACGUCUUCCUCUUUGGGAGAUUUGCCGUGCUCUCGCCUCUGCGAGCGGGAUUUCCCGCGGUGAGCGUACGCGGCUGGCGACAUCGGUCACCCACCCGACCCGUCUUGAAACACGGACCAAGGAGUCUAACAUGUGCGCGAGUCAGUGGGACUCGAACAAGCCCACGGGCAGAGCGAAAGCGAUCGGUCGGGAUCCGCACUGCUCGCAGUGUGGCGCACCGACGGCCCGACGCCUGUAUAGGCGAUCGGAGCGUGAGCGUACACGUUGGGACCCGAAAGACGGUGAACUAUUCCCGGGUAGGAUGAAGCCGGGGGAAACUCCGGUGGAGGUCCGCAGCGGUUCUGACGUGCAAUUCGAUCGUCGAACCCGGGUAUAGGGGCGAAAGACUAAUCGAACC
rnacentral:rRNA from 1 species